UCACACCACACCAGUGUUCACAGACUGGUGCUGCCUCUUCAGGGCUGGACGCUCCGUCGCUGCUUUGGGCAUCAGUGUGUCUCUCAAAAGAGAGAGUCGAGGGUCUUAGAGAGCGUGUGCUUUGUUACUUAGGCGGCACUUCUAUUUAAGAACCUGCUGCCACAGGUUUUAUCCAAAUGGUUAAGGAGGCCAGUGACGAUAAACAACAUCAAGUCUGUCUAGAUGAUCAAAUAUGGGUUUAUUUUGAAGGACAACCUGCAACAGGGCCUGCCUUUUCUACUUGUUUGAAACACUCCUUUGCCCCCGAGUUUUGAACAUGAUGGUUGUGGGACCACGACCAUCCCGACUACAGCCAUGAACCGCUGCUUCCACGUUGCGCUGUGGCCACAAGACCAGAGAGAAAGUCUCCCACCAUCACUAGAAAUUCAGAUUGUCGGCUUCACUCUGUUAAAUGCGGAACCAUGAGUUAUGAGGUCUCUUUAUCAUUUUAAAAACACAGGGUAGUCUGCAAAAUAUAGAAGUGUGUGAGUGCUAAUUUGCAUUCCUGUGGUUAAAUGGAAUAGCUUCAGAAAGGCAGAACAAUAUUUUUUUCCCUGAAGCCCAGUCCUGACAGGAUUUUCUGGAAAUUAUGGAGAUUUGAGACUAAAAAUUAAAGCUGUUUUGAACAAAACAUCCUAUUCAUUCCGUAUCUGCAAUGAAUAAAGCCAAACACUGCUCAGCACACAGAUGGUGAAAAGAAAGAAAAGAGAAGGAAAAAGAGAAGAAGAUCGAAUUGGAACAGCACAUAACAGAUGUGGGUGGGAAAUAACUACGUAGCUGAAAGGUAUGCUGUUUCUUAGAAAAUAUGAACAUCGACUAUCGAUUCCCCCAAGAGAUGCUUGCAGCCAGCCCACUUUCCUCUCCCAUCUUGUCCAGAACUAGAGGAUGGAGCAUCCUUAUGGCUUGGACAGGCGGGGUCGUGUGCCUCCCAGAGAAGAACGAGAGCCAGCCGGUCAUCUCCAGGAGAAAGAAGAAGAGAACUAGUCAGCAAUGGCACAGCUGCUCGUUGUGUUUCCGGCACUGUUGUGUCACAUAUAUGGUUUUAUUUCUAAUCUCCAUGUAAACUCCAUACAAAAGGCUCUGGUGUUACGCUCGUCUUAUAGACGAGGAAGCUGGGAAACGGCAGGCCUUCCUCUUGCAGAGACUGAGAGAGAAGAGGAAUUCGGACUAAGGUGUAUCAGGCCGGUAGCACACGCUUCAGCUACGAAGCUGCCUAUCUGUUCUUGUAUUGACUUAUUUUCUUCAUUAAAUAGAUAAAUGUAUUACAG
rnacentral:lncRNA from 1 species